rnacentral:rRNA from 1 species
UACGGGGGGAGCAAGCGUUGUUCGGAUUUACUGGGCGUAAAGGGCGCGUAGGCGGCCUGUGCAAGUCGGUUGUGAAAUCUCCGGGCUUAACUCGGAACGGUCAACUGAUACUGCUCGGCUAGAGUGCAGAAGGGGCAACUGGAAUUCUUGGUGUAGCGGUGAAAUGCGUAGAUAUCAAGAGGAACACCUGCGGCGAAGGCGGGUUGCUGGGCUGACACUGACGCUGAAGCGCGAAAGCUAGGGGAGCGAGCGGG